AGAGUUUGAUCCUGGCUCAGGAUGAACGCUGGCGGCGUGCCUAAUACAUGCAAGUCGAGCGAACGGACGAGAAGCUUGCUUCUCUGAUGUUAGCGGCGGACGGGUGAGUAACACGUGGAUAACCUACCUAUAAGACUGGGAUAACUUCGGGAAACCGGAGCUAAUACCGGAUAAUAUUUUGAACCGCAUGGUUCAAAAGUGAAAGACGGUCUUGCUGUCACUUAUAGAUGGAUCCGCGCUGCAUUAGCUAGUUGGUAAGGUAACGGCUUACCAAGGCAACGAUGCAUAGCCGACCUGAGAGGGUGAUCGGCCACACUGGAACUGAGACACGGUCCAGACUCCUACGGGAGGCAGCAGUAGGGAAUCUUCCGCAAUGGGCGAAAGCCUGACGGAGCAACGCCGCGUGAGUGAUGAAGGUCUUCGGAUCGUAAAACUCUGUUAUUAGGGAAGAACAAAUGUGUAAGUAACUAUGCACGUCUUGACGGUACCUAAUCAGAAAGCCACGGCUAACUACGUGCCAGCAGCCGCGGUAAUACGUAGGUGGCAAGCGUUAUCCGGAAUUAUUGGGCGUAAAGCGCGCGUAGGCGGUUUUUUAAGUCUGAUGUGAAAGCCCACGGCUCAACCGUGGAGGGUCAUUGGAAACUGGAAAACUUGAGUGCAGAAGAGGAAAGUGGAAUUCCAUGUGUAGCGGUGAAAUGCGCAGAGAUAUGGAGGAACACCAGUGGCGAAGGCGACUUUCUGGUCUGUAACUGACGCUGAUGUGCGAAAGCGUGGGGAUCAAACAGGAUUAGAUACCCUGGUAGUCCACGCCGUAAACGAUGAGUGCUAAGUG
rnacentral:rRNA from 1 species